GACGAACGCUGGCGGCGUGCUUAACACAUGCCAGUCGAACGGAAAGGCCCUGCUUUUGUGGGGUGCUCGAGUGGCGAACGGGUGAGUAACACGUGAGUAACCUGCCCUUGACUUUGGGAUAACUUCAGGAAACUGGGGCUAAUACCGGAUAGGAGCUCCUGCUGCAUGGUGGGGGUUGGAAAGUUUCGGCGGUUGGGGAUGGACUCGCGGCUUAUCAGCUUGUUGGUGGGGUAGUGGCUUACCAAGGCUUUGACGGGUAGCCGGCCUGAGAGGGUGACCGGCCACAUUGGGACUGAGAUACGGCCCAGACUCCUACGGGAGGCAGCAGUGGGGAAUAUUGCACAAUGGGCGGAAGCCUGAUGCAGCAACGCCGCGUGCGGGAUGACGGCCUUCGGGUUGUAAACCGCUUUCGCCUGUGACGAAGCGUGAGUGACGGUAAUGGGUAAAGAAGCACCGGCUAACUACGUG
rnacentral:rRNA from 1 species